UGGCGGACGGGUGAGUAACGCGUGGGCAACCUGCCCCAUACAGGGGGAUAACAGCCGGAAACGGCUGCUAAAACCGCAUAAGCGCACAAGGGCCGCAUGGCCUGGUGUGAAAAACUCCGGUGGUAUGGGAUGGGCCCGCGUCUGAUUAGCAGUUGGCGGGGGAGAGGCCCACCAAGGCGACGAUCAGUAGCCGACCUGAGAGGGUGGCCGGCCACAUUGGGACUGAGACACGGCCCAAACUCCUACGGAAGGCAGCAG
rnacentral:rRNA from 1 species